rnacentral:rRNA from 1 species
ACGCUGGCGGGCGUGCUUAACACAUGCAAGUCGAACGCUGAAGCCCAGCUUGCUGGGUGGAUGAGUGGCGAACGGGUGAGUAACACGUGAGUAACCUGCCCCCUUCUUUGGGAUGACGCCCGGAAACGGGUGCUAAUACUGGAUAUUCACUGAUCUUCGCAUGGGGGUUGGUGGAAAGGUUUUUUCUGGUGGGGGAUGGGCUCGCGGCCUAUCAGCUUGUUGGUGGGGUGAUGGCCUACCAAGGCUUUGACGGGUAGCCGGCCUGAGAGGGUGACCGGUCACAUUGGGACUGAGAUACGGCCCAGACUCCUACGGGAGGCAGCAGUGGGGAAUAUUGCACAAUGGGCGAAAGCCUGAUGCAGCGACGCCGCGUGAGGGAUGACGGCCUUCGGGUUGUAAACCUCUUUCGCUCAUGGUCAAGCCGCAGCUUUGGGUUGUGGUGAGGGUAGUGGGUAAAGAAGCGCCGGCUAACUACGUGCCAGCAGCCGCGGUAAUACGUAGGGCGCGAGCGUUGUCCGGAAUUAUUGGGCGUAAAGGGCUUGUAGGCGGUUGGUCGCGUCUGCCGUGAAAUCCUCUGGCUUAACUGGGGGCGUGCGGUGGGUACGGGCUGACUUGAGUGCGGUAGGGGAGACUGGAACUCCUGGUGUAGCGGUGGAAUGCGCAGAUAUCAGGAAGAACACCGGUGGCGAAGGCGGGUCUCUGGGCCGUUACUGACGCUGAGGAGCGAAAGCGUGGGGAGCGAACAGGAUUAGAUACCCUGGUAGUCCACGCUGUAAACGUUGGGCACUAGGUGUGGGGGCCACCCGUGGUUUCUGCGCCGUAGCUAACGCUUUAAGUGCCCCGCCUGGGGAGUACGGCCGCAAGGCUAAAACUCAAAGGAAUUGACGGGGGCCCGCACAAGCGGCGGAGC